CCCUUAGAUGCUCUGGGCUGCACGCGCGCUACAAUGGUGCAUUCAGCGAGUUUAACCUUGCUUGAAAAAGCUGGGUAAUCUUUAAAAUGCAUCUCAGUUGGGAUAGAUGAUUGCAAUUGUUCAUCUUGAACAAGGAAUAUCUAGUAAACGCAAGUCAUCAACUUGCAUUGAUUACGUCCCUGCCCUUUGUUCACACCGCCCGUCGCUCCUACCGAUUGAAUGUGUUGGUGAGGAGCUCGGAUUGGCAGCAGUUGGUGGUUCGCCACCGGCUAUUGCUGAGAAGUCCUCCAAACCGCCCCAUUUAGAGGAAGGAGAAGUCGUAACA
rnacentral:rRNA from 1 species